rnacentral:rRNA from 1 species
CAGUCGCCGCGGUAAUACGAAGGGUGCAAGUGUUACUCGGAAUUACUGGGCGUAAAGCGUGCGUAGGUGGUGGUUCAAGUCCGUUGUGAAAGCCCUGGGCUCAACCUGGAAUUGCAGUGGAUACUGGGUCACUAGAGUGUGGUAGAGGAUAGUGGAAUUUCCGGUGUAGCAGUGAAAUGCGUAGAGAUCGGAAGGAACAUCUGUGGCGAAGGCGGCUAUCUGGGCCAACACUGACACUGAGGCACGAAAGCGUGGGGAGCAAACAGGAUUAGAUACCCGGUAGUCCCUGUCUCUUAUACAC